UACGGGGGGGGCAAGCGUUGUUCGGAAUUACUGGGCGUAAAGGGCUCGUAGGCGGCCAACUAAGUCAGACGUGAAAUCCCUCGGCUUAACCGGGGAACUGCGUCUGAUACUGGAUGGCUUGAGGUUGGGAGAGGGAUGCGGAAUUCCCGGUGUAGUGGUGAAAUGCGUAGAUAUCGGGAGGAACACCAGUGGCGAAGGCGACUACCUGGCCUGUUCUUGACGCUGAGGCGCGAAAGCUAGGGGAGCAAACGGG
rnacentral:rRNA from 1 species